rnacentral:rRNA from 1 species
GACGAACGCUGGCGGCGUGCUUAACACAUGCAAGUCGAACGGAAAGGCCCUGCUUUUGUGGGGUGCUCGAGUGGCGAACGGGUGAGUAACACGUGAGUAACCUGCCCUUGACUUUGGGAUAACUUCAGGAAACUGGGGCUAAUACCGGAUAGGAGCUCCUGCUGCAUGGUGGGGGUUGGAAAGUUUCGGCGGUUGGGGAUGGACUCGCGGCUUAUCAGCUUGUUGGUGGGGUAGUGGCUUACCAAGGCUUUGACGGGUAGCCGGCCUGAGAGGGUGACCGGCAACAUUGGGACUGAGAUACGGCCCAGACUACUACGGGAGGCAGCAGUGGGGAAUAUUGCACAAUGGGCGGAAGCCUGAUGCAGCAACGCCGCGUGCGGGAUGACGGCCUUCGGGUUGUAAACCGCUUUCGCCUGUGACGAAGCGUGAGUGACGGUAAUGGGUAAAGAAGCACCGGCUAACUACGUG